rnacentral:rRNA from 1 species
CCUACGGGAGGCAGCAGUGAGGAAUAUUGGUCAAUGGGCGAGAGCCUGAACCAGCCAAGUCGCGUGAGGGAAGACGGUUCUAUGGAUUGUAAACCUCUUUUGUCGGGGAGCAAAAGACGCCACGCGUGGCGUUACGAGAGUACCCGAAGAAAAAGCAUCGGCUAACUCCGUGACAGCAGCCGCGGUAAUACGGAGGAUGCGAGCGUUAUCCGGAUUUAUUGGGUUUAAAGGGUGAGCAGGCGGAAGAUCAAGUCAGUGGUAAAAUUGAGGGGUUCAACCUCUUCGAGCCGUUGAAACUGGUUGUCUUGAGUGAGUGAGAGGUAUGCGGAAUGCGUGGUGUAGCGGUGAAAUGCAUAGAUAUCACGCAGAACUCCGAUUGCGAAGGCAGCAUACCGGCGCUCAACUGACGCUCAUGCACGAAAGUGUGGGUAUCGAACAGGAUUAGAUACCCUUGUAGUC